CUACGGGGGGCUGCAGUAAGGAAUAUUGCGCAAUGGAGGCAACUCUGACGCAGCCAUGCCGCGUGCAGGAAGAAGGCCUUAUGGGUCGUAAACUGCUUUUAUUUAGGAAUAAACCCCCGAACGUGUUCGGGGCUGAAGGUACUAAACGAAUAAGCACCGGCUAACUCCGUGCCAGCAGCCGCGGUAAUACGGAGGGUGCAAGCGUUAUCCGGAUUUAUGUGGUUUAAAGGGUGCGCAGGCGGGCUAUUAAGUCAGUGGUGAAAUCCCGGGGCUCAACUCCGGAACUGCCAUUGAUACUGAUAGUCUUGAGUGUGGUUGAAGUGGGCGGAAUGUAGCAUGUAGCGGUGAAAUGCAUAGAUAUGCUACAGAACACCAAUCGCGAAGGCAGCUCACUAAGCCAAAACUGACGCUCAUGCACGAAAGCGUGGGGAUCAAACAGGAUUAGAUACCCUCGUAGUC
rnacentral:rRNA from 1 species